UUGCUAAGUGGUAAUUUUAAACUUGCUAUAGCACAGCUAAUGAAAUAAAUGAACUUUUCAAAAUAAAUGACUUAUUGUAGAAUAUUGUUCUGAAGCAGGUGAUUUUUAAAAUGCUGAUUGAAAUGUUUGCCUUUCUCUUGGUAUAGCUUUUGUGUAAAAGGGGAGUGAAAUAAUGUAAGGCUUGAUGUUUAACACUUGAAGUGAGAAAUAUGCAAAACAACAUAAAAGGAAUAGUUAAAUCACAGGAUGUAAAGUCAGUAUAUAAAAAUCAGUAUUAUUUCUAUACAUCAGAAAUGAAUAGUCCAAAGUAAAAUUUUAAAAAUCCAUUCACAGCAGCACCAAAACGAGCAAUAUGUUUAGGAAUGAACAGAAUGAAGUGCAAGAUCACUACACUGGAAAGAAAAAGCAUUGCUGCAAGAAAUUAAAGAAGACCUAACAAAGUGGAGAGAGACACCAUGCUAUGUAUUGGGGGACUCAAUUCUUGUUAAGAUGGCAGUGCUUUCACUUUCACAUUUGAGCAACAGGUUCAAUGCAAUCCCUGUUAGAAUUGCAGCUGGGUGUUUUGUGGAAAUGGACAAGCUGAUCCUAAAAUUUACAUGGAAGAUAGCCCCAAAAGAAGAAAAAAGUCAAAGGGCUUAUCCUGCCUUAUUACAAAACUUACCACAAAACUAGAGUAAUUAAAACAGUGUAGAUUGACAUGUAAAUUAGUUGAACAAAAUAUGGUCAAAUGAUUGUUGACAAGUGUGUGAGGGUAAGGCACUGUGGGAAGGGAUUACUUUUCAACAAAUGGUGCCAUAAAUUAGAUAUAUACACUCAGGCCAGGCCUGGUGGCUCUCACCUGCAAUCCCAGCACUUUGGCAGACUGAGAUGGGAGGACUGCUUGAGCCCAGGAAUUCAAGAGCAGCCUAGACAACAUAGUGAGUCCCCAUCUCUAGAAAAAAAAAAGUUACACACAUGCAAACAAGUAAAUAAUAAAUCUUGGGCCCUACCUCAGAAUGUACACAGAAAUUAACUCAAAAUAGACCAGAGACCUACAUGUGAGAAAAAUCUAUACAAGCUUUAGGAAAAAAUAGAAGAAAAUAUAUUUGACAUUGGAUUAGGCAAAGAUAUGACAUUGAAAGCAUAAAAUAAAAAGAAAAUUAGUAGAUUGGACUUAAUGAAAAGCCACAGACUAAAAUAAAAUACUUGCAAAAUAUAUAUCUGAUAAAGGAUUGCAUCCAGAAUAUUUAAAGAACUCUUACAACUCCAUAUUAAGAAAAUAGUCCAAUUAAGAAAGGAGCAAAAGAUUUGAAUAGACAUUUCAUCAAUAAAGAUAUAUAGAUGCAAAGUGAACAUAUGAAAAGAUACUCUGCGUCAUUAGUGUUUAGCAAAAUGCAAAUAGAAAUGACAAAGAUACCAGUUCACACCCUCAAAGAAUGGCAGCACCAAGUGUGUGCGAUGCUCUGGGGAGAGUAGAAACUUCACACAUUGCUGGUAGGAAUAUAAAAUAGGGCAGCCGCUGAGGGAAAGCGUUUUCAGUUACCUAAAAAGUUAAACAUAUACUUCCCAUAAAACCUAGUAAUUCUACUCCAAAAGAAAUGGAAACAUAUCCUCAUGGCCACCUGUCUGUGAACACUUAGGGCAGUUGUUCAUAAUAGCCCAAGUUGGAAAUAACCCAAGUGUUCAUCAGCAGUGAGCGAGCUGUGGUAUAUCCACGCAGUGACAAGAGAUACUUCUGAGCAGUGACAAGCAAUGUGCACGUGCUGCAGCGUGGAUAAACCCCAAGUCCACAUGCUGCGUGAAAGAAGCCAGCCACAAGAGACUAGCUUAUAGGAUGCCGUUUAUAUGAAAUUUCUGUGCAAGGCCACACUGAGUGACAGAAAGCACCAGUGGCUGCCCAGGGGCAGGGGAUGGGAGUGAGGAUUCACUGAAGAUGGGAAGGAAGGAACUUUUGGGGCGAUGGAAGGAUUCUAAACCUGCACUGUAGUGUAAAUUUACUAAAACACAAUGAGUUGUACACUUAAAUUAGGUAACUUUUAUGGCAUGUAAGCCUACCUCAAAGCUGUUUAGAAAAGAUAAACCUUAUAAAGGGGAGGGCGGCAAGGAAGGCCAACAUUAAAAUAAAAUUGAGGCACAGCUUGAAUGUUGGUUUAAGGAUUUUGUAUAUUCUCUCACUGAAGAAAAUGUGUAGAUGUUCAUAUACAUCUGUAUUUUUCUGAGCUGAAAAGGUGAAACAUGAGAACGAGCACUGACCCUCAAAGGAAGGUGCCCUCAGAGGAAGGAGGUCUAGAGUCGAGGGGGCGACAUGGUAACUGUCUUCAGAUGCUGGAAGGGAGUAGAUGUGUUCGUUCUUUGGCAUGCUAAGAUGGAAUACCACCAGAUGAAAUGUGAAAAGGCACACAUGACCCAAGGAAGGACGGCCUCGGGUACAGUGAGAAUGUUCAACAGUAUGAACAUUCCAUUUGUGGAAUAGUGCAUUUGCCAUGGGAGAUCUGUCAGUUGAUGCUGAGGGGACAUUUUGGUUUGCAUGCUGUAGGAGAUCAUGCCAGGUGCCUUCUCCAUUCCCUUCUGGUGGGCAUUCCUGACAAGCCAUGGCAGGAGCUGCUAGCAUGAUGUAUAGCUGUUCAUGAGUGCCUUCCCCUUAAAUCUGUAAAGAACUAAAGAAAAUUGAGAAGUUGGCCAGGCAUGAUGUCUCAUGCCUGUAAUCCCAGCAGUUUGGGAGGCCAAGGCACGUGGAUCAUGAGGUCAGGAGUUUGAGACCAGCCAGACCAACAUGGUGAAACCCCGUCUCUACUAAAAGUACAAAAAUUAGCUAGGCAUGGUGGUGCACACCUGUGAUCCCAGCUACUUAGGAGGCUGACGCAGGAGAGUUGUUUGAACCCAGGAGGCGGAGGUUGCAGUGAGCCGAGAUCAAGCCACUGCACUCCAGCCUGGUAGACAGAGCAAGACUCCAUCUCAAAAAAAAAGAAAAGAAAGAAAGGAAAAGAAAAGAAAAGUUCUAUCAUUGCACAUUGACUUCUUCCCUGUUCUCUGCCUUUUUAUGUCUUAGCUCAUUUGUUUCUUCUCUUUAGAUUCUCAGUACCUCGUUUUCUAUCUCCCAUUAAGACGUAGAAGGGUGGAGGGGGCUAAUUGUGUGCCCCACUGUCAGUUUUACUGCUUUAGAGGUGUUGGUGCCUCAUUGCAUAAGCAAGCAGAGAGUGAGUUAUUGGGUAACUGAGGAUGUAUAGCUGGAAAACAGUGGGUUUGAACCUGCAUCUGUUCUACUCUGAGCAUGCUGUUUUAAGUAAUCUAAUUUCAUUUGACUGAAAUUUAUUUGCAUGAUCUGUCACAGGUAAUUUGCCCUUUAUCUCUUUUUAUGAAAUGAAAAACUAUUGCUUUUAAAGAAAUUAUAGAUAUCAUCAGAGGAGAAUCUUUGUUGAGAGGUAGGAUGAGAAAGUUCAAGUGAGUUUCUUUCUCUUGAUUUUGACAUGAGAUGUUUUAGAACCGUUUCCAAAGUUUAUUCUGUGUGUGUAUGUGUUUGAAGAUUAGUCCCAGGAAAGGAUUGACUGUGUGUCUUUUUUGGCCUCAGAAGACCUCCCUGCUCUGCAGGGAUUGUGUGCUCUGGAAAGCAGCCACCGAAGCCCGUUUUCUAGGACCUGUGUGGUGCAGAGGGUCCGAGAGUGUCUUUGCUCUGACUGUGUCUCUGACCCUGCAGCCUGGCAUAAGGUUGCUUGCUUCAGCAGAAGCUCUGAAGCUGUGCUCCAGCCCUGAUCUCCUUGUCCUAAAACCUUCCUUCAUCCCUGUCAUAAGACAUUUUCUCUCUGUGCACCCGCUGCAGUUCAUGCCAUCAGACUCUGUCUUGCUGUUUUCUUUGGCCUCAGCACUCCCAGGACCUCUGACUCUAGGUUUGGACGAAUGAGCAGCAGGAUUUACUCGAGCGCCACUUUGCUGGGGCUUCAGGCCUCCCUCGGAUUCAGCUAUGGAGUAUGUUCCUCAGGCACAGGACAUGGGUGUGGGGGGACAGGUGACUGCCAGAGGGCAAAGGGACAGAAUUGAGGUUAAAUUCCUAAGAUGCACAAGUAUCAGUCUCCAUUUAGUAGAAAGAUUCCUUCACUGUUUUGUGGUAGACAGUUCCAGUGAGGGUGAUGAAUUGUGAAAUCAGGCUGUUUUAUUGGUUCAUUCAUCAUUCAUCUUAUUUAUAAGACCAACUUGGCACCCCUCUCCUGUGUCCUAGGCACUGUUCUCAGCUUCUCCAAGUUCAGUAUGGUGGGAGUCCUGUGAAAACAUUUUAAUACUGUGUGCCCAGGGCUCUGGUGGGAGAGAGUUUACAAAAAUAGCUAACCCCGCUAGGAGCAAGCAGCUCAGGGCAGAGCUUCCUGGGGGGCUUGGUAUAUGCAUUAGAUAUGAGGACCCUAGGUAGCUGAAGAGGUAGCAGGGGCAGACUUUAUUGCAGGACAGACAGCACAGGCAGAGGUGUCGAGGCAUGAAAUAUGGCGUGGAAGCACUGGCAGCUUAAUAAGUAGCCUUACUAUGGGGGGGGUGGUGGUAGUGGUGGUGGUGGUGUGUGAGUGUACACGUGAGAGAGAGAAAGCGUGUUCACAUGCAUAUGAGCUUGGUGGGGUGGGGUGACACUGUUACAUCUCAAGGCAUGCUUUCCCAGCCAUUUCCCUUGGCCACAGUAUAUUGUUUGUGUAAUAGUCCUCUCAUUCUCUCAAAUGAGAAACAAAUGCAUCAAAUGUGUUUCAUGUACUAAGGGAACAGAGAUAUAGACAGGACUAACUUUCUCUUUUAUCUAGCAUUUAUUUAGUAUAUACGAUUUUAGAAUAGACACACCUGUGCUUUGCCUAUAAAAAAAUGUAUGAGCUGGCUAUGGAAAUAAUUCCUACAUGUGUCUUGAUGUGUGCCACAACCAGCACCAUUUAAACAAGGCCCCGGGGCAGAUGCAUUGUCUGUGCUUCGGCUUCCCUCACAUAGAAAUUCAGUUUCGUGGUGGCAGUUACAUGCACAUAGCACUGUUUGACAUAAUCUUGCUUGUUUAUGUCUUGGUCUGUCUCACCAGCGAGCGCGAGUGCUAGGGGAGCACAUCCUGCCUGUCUUUCACACCACUUCAUCCCUAGGGCCUCACAGAAUGCCUGGCAUGUGGUAGGGUCCCAAUAAAUACUUAUUAAAAGAGUGAGUUUAGGAUACAGCCUGGUUUUGUCUACCCUCUACUCACCCCGUUUUCUUGUUCUUCAUGACUACACUUCCUUCCUUUCUGGAAAAUGUGUGUUUUCUGCAGGUUUGUUUUCCUGUGUUCCUUCUGUCUGGAGUGUUCUUCCUCCUCCCAACCUCCCUCUCCUCCUGACUCUCAGAUUUUACCGUAUCACAUCCCUAGCAAGUCUUACUGAGAUGUCUCAAUCUAGGACAAAUGGUUUGUUGCACAUACUCUCAUGGAAUUGUGUUCCUUUCCUCCUGAAAAUCUAUCUUGGUUCUUAAUCAUAAUUGUUUGAGAGAGUUACUCAAGAAAUGUGUUUUGCCCUCAUUGACUGCAAAUUCUGUGAUGGCCAUUAUGCCCUGCCUGUUUUGUUUUCUGAAUGUAGUCAGUACCUAAGAGAUUGUAUGCUCUCAGUAAGUGUUCACUGGUGAAUAAGUGAGUGAUGAUGUGACUUCUGCGUCAGAGCACACCUUGUCCAAGGAGCCCCCUUGAGCUCCUGCUUCCUGGCCAUAGACCCUGCCUCACUUAGAAUGCUAGGAUCUACUUCAGGUCCUGUUCAAUGGGGGUCUUGUGAAAGCCGCUGUGGACUCCCUGUCUCCUUCUCUGUGCCCCUGGAGCAGUGUCUCAUCCCUGAUUAUUUUAUUUUAUUUUACUUUAAGUUCUUGGGGUACAUGUGCAGAUCUUGCUGGAUUGUUACAUAGAUAUACACAUGCCAUGGUGGUUUGCUACCUCCAUCCCCCGGUCACCAACAUUAGAUAUUUCUCCUAAUGUUAUCUCUUCCCAAUUUCCCCACCCCCUGCUACCUCUCCCCUAACCCCUCAUUCCUCAACAGACCCCAGUGUGUGAUGUUCCCCUCCCUGUGUCCAUGUGUUCUCAUUGUUCAACACCCACUUAUGAGAGAGAACAUGUGGUGUUUGGUUUUCUGUUCUUGUGUCAGUUUGCUGAGAAUGAUAGUUGCCAGAUUCAUCCAUGUCCCUGGCAAAGGACAUGAACUCAUCUUUUUUUAUGACUGCGUAGUAUUCCGUGGUGUAUAUGUGCCACAUUUUCUUUAUUUCCAGUCUAUCUUUGAUGGGCAUUUGGGUUGGUUUCACGUCUUUGCUAUUGUAAACAGUGCCACAAUGAACAUUCGUGUGCAUGUGUCUUCAUAAUAGAUCAAUUUAUAAUCCUUUGAGUAUAUACCUAAUAAUGGGAUUGCUGGGUCAAACGGUAUUUCUAUUUCUGGAUCCUUGAGGAAUUGCUGCCUUCCACAAUGGUUGAACUAAUUUACACUUCCACCAACAGUGUAAAAGCGUUUCUAUUUCUCCACAUCCUCUCCAGCAUCUGUUGUCUUCAGAUUUUUUAAUGAUUGCUAUUCUAACUGGUGUGAGAUGGUAUCUCAAUGUGGUUUUGAUUUGCAUUUCUCUAAUGACCAGUGAUGAUGAGCAUUUUUUCAUAUGUUUUUUUGGCCACAUAAAUGUCUUCUUUUGAAAAGUAUCUGUUCAUAUCUUUCCCCCACUUUCCUGAUGGGGUUGUUUGUUUUUUUCUUGUAUAUUUGUUUUUGUUCUUUAUAAAUUCUGGAUAUUAGCCCUUUUUCAGAGGGGUAGCUUGCAAAAAUUUUUUCCUAUUCUGUUGGUUGCCUGUUCACUCUGAUGAUUAUUUCUUUUGCUGUACAGAAGCUCUGGAAGUUUAAUUAGAUCCCAUUUGUCUAUUUUGGCUUUUGUUGCCAUUGCUUUUGGUGUUUUAGUCAUAAAGUCCUUGCCUAUGCCUAUGUCCUGAUUGGUAUUGCCUAGAUUUUCUUCUAGGGUUUUUAUGGUGUUAGGUUUUAGGUUUAAAUCUUUAAUCCAUCUGGAGUUAAUUUUUGUUUAAGGUGUAAGGAAGGGGUCCAGUUUCUGCACAUGACUUGCCAGUUUUCCCAACACCAUUUAUUAAACAGGGAAUCCUUUCCCCAUUGCUUGUUUUUGUCUGGUUUGUCAAAGAUCAGAUGGUUGUAGAUGUGUGGCAUUACUUCCGAGGCUUCUGUUCUGUUCCAUUGGUCUAUAUCUCUGUUUUGGUACCAGUACCAUGCUGUUUUGAUUACUGUAACCUUGUAAUAGAGUUUGAAGUCAGGUAGCAUGAUGCCUCCAGCUUUAUUCUUUUUGCUUAGGAUUGUCUUGGCAUUGUGGGCUCAUUUUUGGUUUAAGAUAGUUUUUUCCAGUUCUGUGAAGAAGGUCAGUGGUAGUUUGAUGGGGGGGGGAUAGUGUUGAAUCUAUAAAUUACUUUGGGCAGUAUGGCCAUUUUCAUGAUACUGAACUUUCCUAACCAUGAGUAUGGAAUAGUUUUCCAUCUGUUUGUGUCCUCUCUUAUUUCCUUGAGCAGUGGUUUGUAGUUCUCCUUGAAGAGGUCCUUCACGUCCUUUGUUAGUUGUAUUCCUAGGUAUUUUAUUCUCUUUGUAGCAAUUGUGAGUGGAGGUUCACUCAUGAUUUGGCUCUCUAUUUGUCUGUUAUUGGUAUAUAGGAAUGCUUGUGAUUUUUGCACAUUGAUUUUGUGUCCUGAGAAUUUGCUGAAGUUGCUUAUCAUUUUAAGGAGAUUUUUGGCUGAGACAAUGGGAUCUUCUAAAUAUACAAUCGUGUUAUCUGCAAAUAGAGACAAUUUGACUUCCUCUUUUUCCACUUGAAUGCCCUUUAUUUCUUUUUCUUGCCUGAGUACUCUGGCUAGAACUUCCAAUACUAUGUUGAAUAGGAAUGGCGGGAGAGGGUACCCUUGUCUAAUGCCAGUUUUCAGAGGGAAUGCUUCCAGUUUUUGCUCAUUCGGUAUGAUAUUGGCUGUGGGUUUGUCAUAAAUAGCUUUUAUUAUUUUGAGAUACCUUCCAUUAAUACCUAGUUUAUUAAGAGUUUUUAGCAUAAAGGCUGUUGAAUUUUGUCAAAGGCCUUCUCUGCAUCUAUUGAGAUAAUCAUGUGGUUUUUGUCUUUGGUUCUGUUUAUGUGAUGGAUUACAUUUAUAUAUUUGUGUAUGUUGAACCAGCCUUGCAUCCCCAGUCAUCCCUGAUUCUUGUACCUGCAGCUUCUCUUGCCAGACUGUACUGUUUCUGUUCCCAGGGAAGAAGCAGAGGGGUGGAAAUGAGGGAGGGGCUGAACAUAGGGAGCUGCUCCACUUAGGCUGUGGAAGAAGGGGAAGAGAAAUCUGUUUCAGGCAUACCUAAUUGGGAUUAGGACGAUAUUUUCCCUGGAGAAGGUAACACAAUGUGGCCAUGUUCUGCGAUAUUCAAGAGUGGAAGUCUGUUAACCUUGAGAAAUUAAGCUGAAAAUUUUCUUUAUAACUUGGCAAGUAAUUUUCAACAAGAUGAAUGACCUAAGGGAAAAAGGUAAAAGAGUAUAUGCAAUAAAAUUGAAUAGAUCUAAUGGGUUACCUUGUAUGGAAUUAUGUUGUAAAAGCUGCAGGAAAAUGAUUUUAAACCUCCCAUCACAGAGCUGUAGGAAAGUGAUUUUAAACCUCCCAUCACAUGGCUCAGCUGCCCACCAAUUUGAACAAACAUUUAUUGUGGGCCACAGUAUUUCCAGAAACUCAAAGAUAAAGGAGUUGGGAUCCUUACCCUCUGAAAUGAACAGUUGAGUUGGGAACAUUACAGCGUCAUUUCUGCAACAAAUGUUUAUUAUGCUGAUGCUGGGAUCCAGUGACGAAUAAAAAAGACAUACUUUGUCCCCUUGUGAAGCCUACAGUCAGACUACCCACCACAGGCAAUUACUGUUACAAAAGAAGGGUGUACCAAAGGCUAGGGGCAUCCUGGAGGGAACAGCAGUGGUGGAAAGUAGUAAAACUGUGUAUCAGCCACUGACUGUAUUCGGUAGAAUCAAAAAGUUACAAAUGAUGUAUAGAUAUUUGGUGUUAAGUAGAAUGAUGCUAAAAUAUACUUACUUAAAAUAUUGGGAAAUAUGAUAUUUUCCUCAGAAGUCUACUUUAUUGAUGAUAAAAUUGAGCAUCAGACAAGGUCAUGAAAAAAGAUUGAAUUCAAACUCUGACUUACAUUGGGUGGCCUUAGUGAUGGAUUUGAUGAGCACUACUUGGAGUCAGAUAUAUAUGGGUUUGAAUUCAAGCUCUGCUGAGUUUCCAUUACCUUCAGAACCUUGGCUAAGUCACUUUACCUUUCCAGGCUUAAAUUGGAUUAAGUCAGUAACUUAGAUGAGGAACAGGGUACCUGCAUGCUUCAUAUUGUGGGUAUGUAGGUAAACUUUUCUUGGAAUAAUGGGUUCAGAUACCAAAAAGAGGUGUUCAGACUUUCAGAUCAAAUCCUUUCAAAGGUCAUUUUUAGUUCUGAAGUAUUUUGCUGUUUUUUUUCUUCCUCCUGAAUAUGUGAUGUUACAGCUUGUUUUAAAGUAUUCAUAGUGUUGUAUUUAUCACCAUGUACUGCAGUUCAUUGUCUUCUCCCCAGAGUGUGAACUCCUUAGCAGGGAUAUUUUACUCUUUAAAAUCUCACUGUUAGGCAUUCAGAUGAUAGGAGCUUAGUAAGUGAAGUUAUCUGUUGUAUUCUGUUCUGUCAAAUGAAUAUUUGUGAGUUUUUGCCUUUAAAUCUUAAAAAAAUUUUUUUUUGAUGGAUAUUGGUUCCUGGUGUAAGAGAUUUCCAAACAGAUUCUUUUCACUCAUGCUCUUGGCCUUGAAUGACACACUUGAUAGGUUGACUUGCCUUAGUCUCCUGGUGUUCCCUGCUUCUCUUCCCUCUUGCUUUUCUUCCUCUUAGGCUCUCCACAGGGCAGAAGACAUGGUAACUGGCAGAGUGGGGUGGAGUUGGGGCAGGAAGAGGCAGCUUCAGCUGCUGUGGCCUCUAUCUUAAUCCACUGUGACCCUGAAGAGCAGACUGUCCUGGGGUCCACGUUACCUGUCAUCUGCCAGUACUCACAACAUUCCUACCGUGACUUCCUAGAUAGAAAUGUCAUCAGGAACUGCCUUAACUCUACUGGGAAUGAAUGAUGAUCUUAGAAGUGCCAUCUGGCAGGCAGCAGGCUCAAGUCAUUUGAAAAUUUGUCCUCAUGGAGUUAAUUAGCAGUGGUUAGUGGCUUGGCAGGAACUCUGUGGGGAAAAUACUAACUUCACUGAGGACACUCCCAUGAUCCCACGAGAGAGAAUAAAAUGUGGUGGCAAGGAAAGUGGACUUUAGUUUUUUUCUUGUAUGUUCUCUGUGGACCAUAUUCACCAGCCUUUCAGGGGUCUGGAAUAAAGGUACAGGCCCUGUUGGUAUUACUGUGCUAACCCAAAAUUAAAGUUGGAUUUCAUUUGGGAAACUAUGAGCAAGUCUAAAAUUGAUUUUUUGAUAUUAUCCCCUUAAGAGUUAAUGUUUCCAUAAUUACCAUGUAUCAGUCACUGUAAUAAGCACAUGCUACUUCAUCCUAGCAAUAGCACUUAGAGGUUUGUGUGCUGUGCCUCUUUCACCAAGAAACAGAAAUUAGUAAAUGGUGGUCUAGGAUUUGAACUAGUUGUGUCCAAUUCCACCCAGGGCUUUUUAUUAUUACUUCUAAGCAAUAACCAUUAUGAUUAUGAAAUUUUGUUUUUAAAAAAAUACUCUAAAUUGAGGGGAAUUUAUGGAGACAACAGGGUCUCUGAACAAAGGCUGGGGUUGUAGGUGUUGGUGAUUAUUCAUCAGAGCAAAUAUGCAUAUAUCUCUAUCCAAAAGAAUAUGGUCGCCUUUUGGCAUAUUGUGCUUAGGAUGUAAGGUUUUUAAAAUACUCUCAGUGCCCAUGGGGAGUUACUUGGUAAUAGGUAAUAGGAUGUCCAGGUCCUGUUGGAAUUCUGAAAGAGCUUCAGAACAUAGCAUUGUUCCAUCAAAUCCUGUACUCAGGAAAGAAUGUGACUGAGAUUCCUUUAUAUACUGGUAAGUCAAUGUAGUGUCUCUUUUGGAGGUGUUGCAUUUGAAUUAACUUUAUUUCAAAUUGUAAACUGAAUUCCUGUCAAGGUUUCAUGUUGGUUCAUGUUGUAGUUUUGUGAGAAAAGAAGCAUGAGUGAAAGGGGUAUUUUUUCGACUUUUUGUUAAUAAAUGAGGAAAUUGUCUUGGACAGUUGGGACUUGCUAAAUGAUGAACUCUACCUGUGAUGUGGUGUGUUGUUAAGCAUAUAGACUUGACAUGUGCACGUUCUGUAGUCACUGUGUUAGAAAGAGUACGGCUUAAUAGAAAGAGCCUUUGGCCUUUGACUUUGGAAUUUGAAUGAUGGAGUGAUUUCUGUGUGCCACUUUGCUGAGUGUUUUUUUUCUUCUAAAUACUUUAUCCUAUUUAACUGUUGAAAUAAUCCUCUGUAGGAAGUGUUACUGUUGACUUUUACAGAUAGGGACACUGAGGUUUCAGAAGGUUAAAUACUUCAACAAGGUCACAGAACCAGUUAACUGGCAGCUCUAGAAGUUUGUGAAAUUCAUUAGUGUUGUUGAGGGUUGUUAGAUUGCUUAUUUACUGAGAUUCUUGUAAGGAAUGUUUUAUUUAAAUUGAAGAAACAAAGAUAUUUUUACUUGCUUACUUGCUAGCAUAGAAGUCUUGGUUUACUUUUUGAAAGAAUAGCAGGCACCAUUGAGACAUUGUGUUGUGGCUGGGUUGUUUUCUGUCUUCUUCAUUAGGAUGUAGUAUUGGGAGUCUUUAAAAAAUAUUUUAACCUUUAAAAAAAUAUCUGAGUAAUAGUGAUUUUAUUCUCUAGAAUCCCUCCCUUUAUUUAAAAUUGUUCAGCCUUCUCUAAGUGCUUUGCCUGUGGUUGGUAUAUAUUAAAAUACUAAUAAAUAUAGACUUCAAAAUAGUAUUUUAAUGUCAGCUGACUAAAAAUAUAAUUCUAGAAUUCUUUUAGAUAAACUAACUAUGUAGGGAAAAAAUGGCUCCUACUUGUUGCUAGCUUAUUAAAUAGUCCUUAUUUAGAGUGGUUAUGGAAAAGACAGAUAAAGGGUAACAGCAGAAUAACUAAGAACCUAACAAACUGCCAGGCAUUUUGGUGAAAGGAUAUUAGAGCAAUUGAGCCUGGCAUUUAUAUCUCAUGGUAAAAAUUGCACAUUUAUGGUACUAGUGCAAAAAUAGCCACAUAGAUGAAUAGAACAGAAUAGAGAUCUCAGAAAUAAGACCACACAUCUAUAACCAUCUGAUCUUCAACAAACUGAUAAAAGCAAGCAAUGGAAAAAGGAUUCCCUAUUUUAUAAAUGGUGCUUGAAAAACUGGCUAGCCAUAUGCAGAAAAUUGAAACUGGAUUCCUUCCUUACACCUUAUACAAAAAUUAGCUGAAGAUGGAUUAAAGAUUUAAACAUGAAGAUGGUGCGGUAGGAACAACUCGGGAUUGCAGCUCUCAGUGAACGCGCAGAGGGUGAGUCAGGGCCGCAUUUCCAGAUGGAUCUUUGUUGCCCACAGACGGGGAAAUUCCCAGGUGUAGGAGAGACAUGAGAAGCCAGCACAGCCCUCCCGGGCCAUUUUGGCCGGCGCCGCAGCGCAGCGGCACCUCGCACAAAACGCACUGAUCUGAGUGCCCUGUUAAACCGGCAGUCUGAGAUUUGGGAGGGCAGAUAGCAUAUCCAUCUGAUUAAAUGGGACUUGGACAGUGAGCCAGACAAGGAGAUUCCUGGGAAGUGACAUUUGAGCCGGUGCAGUGGGCCCUGCACGGGAAAUCACACAGAUCCCGGUGCCCUACCAGCAGGCGACUAAAACACCUGAGAGAGAGUCAACCGUUCAACUUAAAAAAAAAAAUAAGAGGGAGAAAGGGCUCUGAGGCAGGGAGCCAGGUGAUCAGGCUCGGCAGGUCGCACCCUGACAGGGACAAACAAAACGGUGAUUGGAAAUGCUCGGGGUUGAGAGUUUCACCGGGGGCACAGCUGAAUCCAGGACGAUGCAGCUCCGUGGGGGAGGGGCGUCUGCCACGACCGAGGCAUUCCACCCCUACUUAGGUACAUGCCCAUGCUGACGCAGCCUACUGUUGCCAAGGCAACCUGCCACAACAGAGAGACUCCGCCAACAGGGCGGAGCCCACAACAGCAGGGAAGAGCCCACGGACAACAGGCCAGAGCCCAGGAUGACAGGGCGGAGUCCACAGCAGCAGGGCAAAGCCCACAGCAGCAGGACGGAGCCCAUAGCAGCAGGGACUGGAAUGGACCUCAGCAGUCGUACAGCAGAGGGGCUAGACUGUUAGAAGGAAAACUAAGUAACAGAAAUACUUCAGCAUCAACAAUCUGGGCGUACACUCAGAGACCCAAUUGAAAAGUCAGCAACUACUCAGACGACAGGUGGUUAAAUCCACAAAGAUGGGAAGAAACCAGCACAAAAAGGAGGAAAACACCCGAAACCAGAACAUCUCGCCUCCUACAAAGGACCAAAACUCUUCACCAGCAAGGGAACAAAGCGGGAUGGAGAAUGAGUAUGACGAAAUGACAGAAUCAGACUUCAGAAGGUGGAUAAUGAGAAACUUCUGUGAGCUAAAAGAACAUGUUCUAAAUCAAUGCAAAGAAACUAAGAACCUCGAAAAAAGAUUUGAAAAAAGAUUUGAGGAAAUGAUAACAAGAAUGGACAACCUAGAGAGGAAUAUGAAUGAAUUGAAGGAGCUGAAAAACACAACACGAGAACUUCACGAAGCAUGUACAAGUUUCAACAGCCGAAUUGACCAAGCAGAAGAAACAAUAUCAGAAGUCGAAGAUCAACUCAAUGAAAUUAAACGAGAAACCAAGAUUAGAAAAAAAGUGCAAAAAGGAAUCAGCAACGUCUCCAAGAAAUGUGGGACUAUGUGAAGAGACCUAACCUACAUUUGAUAGGUGUACCAGAAUGUGAAGAAGAGAAUGAAUCCAAGCUGGAAAAUGCUCUUCAGGAUAUUAUCCAGGAAAAUUUCCACAACCUAGCAAGGCAGGCCAAUAUUAAAGUCCAGGAAAUACAGAGAACACCACAAAGAUACUCCGCAAGAAGAGCAACCCCAAGGCACAUAAUCGUCAGAUUAACCAGGGUUGAAAUGAAGGAGAAAAUACUAAGGGCAGCCAGAGCGAAAGGUCGGGUCACCCACAAAGGGAAGCCCAUCAGACUCACAGCAGAUCUCUCGGCAGAAACUCUACAAGCCAGAAGAGAGUGGGGGCCAAUAUUCAACAUCCUUAAAGAAAAGAACUUUCAACCCAGAAUUUCAUAUCCAGCAAAACUGAGCUUCAUAAGUAAAGGAAAAAUAAAAUCCUUUGCAAACAAGCAAGUACUCAGAGAUUUUGUCACCACCAGGCCUGCUUUACAAGAGCUCCUGAAAGAGGCACUAUACAUAGAAAGGAACACCCAGUACCAGCCAUUCUAAAAACAUACCAAAUGCUAAAGAGCAUCAAUAAAAAGAAGAAUCUGCAUCAACUAACGGGCAAAACAGCCAGCUAGCAUCAAAAUGGCAGUAUCAAAUUCACACAUGACAAUAUUAACCCUAAAUGUAAAUGGGCUAAAUGCACCAAUCAAAAGACACAGACUGGCAAAUUGGAUAAAAAUCCAAAACCCAUCGGUGUGCUGUAUCCAGGAAACCCAUCUCACAUGCAAGGACACACAAAGGCUCAAAAUAAAGGGAUGGAGGAAGAUUUACCAAGCAAAUGGAGAGCAAAAAAGAAGCAGGAGUUGCAAUUCUCAUCUCUGAUAAAAUAGACUUUAAAGCAACAAAGAUCAAAAGAGACAAAGAAGGUCAUUACAUAAUGGUAAAAGGAUCGAUACAACAAGAAGAGCUAAAGAUCCUAAAUAUAUAUGGACCCAGUACAGGAGCACCCAGAUAUAUAAGGCAAGUUCUUAACAACUUACAAAGAGACCUAGACUCCCACACAGUAAUAGUGGGAGGCUUUAACACUCCACUGUCAAUAUUAGACAGAUCAACCAGACAGAAAAUUAACAAGGAUAUCCAGGGCUUGAACUCAGACCUGGAACAAGCAAACCAGAUAGACAUUUACAGAACUCUCCGCCCCAAAACCACAGAAUAUACAUUCUUCUCAGCACCACAUCACACCUACUCUAAAAUUGACCACAUAAUUGGAAGUAAAGCACUCCUCAGCAAAUGCAAAACAACUGAAAUCAUAACAAACAGUCUCUCAGACCAUAGUGCAAUCAAGUUAGAACUCAGAAUUCAGAAACUAACUCAGAACUGCACAGCGUCAUGGAAACCAAACAACUGGCUCUUGAAUGUUGAUUGGAUAAACAAUGAAAUGAAGGCAGAAAUAAAGAAGUUCUUUGAAACCAACGAGAACGAAGACACAACAUACCAGAAUCUCUGGGACACAUUUAAAGCAGUCUCUAGAGGAAAAUAUAUAGCAAUAAGUGCCCACAUGAGAAGAGCGGAGAGAUCCAAAAUUGACACCCUAUCAUCAAAAUUGAAAGAGCUAGAGGAGCAAGAUCAAAAAAACUCAAAAGCUAGCAGAAGACAAGAAAUAACUAAGAUCAGAGCUGAACUGAAGGAGAUAGAGACACAAAAAACCCUUCAAAAAAUCAAUAAAUCCAAGAGCUGGUCUUUUGAAAAGAUCAACCAAAUAGACAGACCACUAGCCAGACUGAUUAAAAAGAAAAGAGAGAACAACCAAAUAGAUGCAAUAAAAAACGAUAAAGGGGAAAUCACCACAGAUUCCACAGAAAUUCAAACUAUUAUCAGAGAAUACUACAAACAACUCUAUGCACAUAAACUAGUAAACCUGGAAGAAAUGGAUAAAUUCCUGGACAUCUGUGUCCUCCCAAGUCUAAACCAGGAGAAAGCCGAAACUAUGAAUAGAUCAAUAACAAGGUCUGAAGUCAAGGCAGCAAUUAAGAGCCUACCACACAAAAAAACCCCAGGUCCAGAUGGGUUCACAGCUGAAUUCUAACAGACACCCAAAGAGGAGCUGGUACCAUUCCUUCCUUCUGAAACUAUCCCAAAUAAUCCAAAAAGAGGAAAUCCUUCCCAAAUCAUUUUAUGAGACCAACAUCAUCCUGAUACCGAAACCUAGCAGAGACUCAACAAGAAAAGAAAACUUCAGGCCAAUAUCCAUGAUGAACAUAGCUGCAAAAAUCUUCAGUAAAAUACUGGCAAACCAAUUGCAACAGCAUAUCAAAAAACUUAUCCAUCAUGAUCAAGUAGGAUUCAUCCCGGGGAUGCAAGACUGGUUCAACAUACACAAGUCUAUAAACGUAAUUCACCACAUAAACAGAACCAAAAACAAAAACCACAUGAUUAUCUCAAUUGAUGCAGAGAAGGCCUUUGACAAAAUUCAACAGCCCUUUAUGCUAAAAACCCUCAAUAAACUCGGUAUGGAUGGAACGUAUCUCAAAGUAAUAAAAGCUAUUUAUGACAAACCAACAGCCAAUAUCAUACUGAAUGAACAAAAACUGGAAGCAUUCCCUUUGAAAUCCGGCACAAGACAAGGAUGCCCUCUCUCACCCCUCCUAUUCAAUAUAGUACUGGAAGUUCUAGCCAGAGCAAUCAGGCAAGAAAAAGAAAUAAAGGGUAUUCAAAAAGGAAAGGUGGAAGCCAAGUUGUCUCUAUUUGCAGAUGACAUGAUAGUAUACCUAGAAGACCCCAUCGUCUCAGCCCAAAAACUCGUGAAACUGAUAAGCAACUUCAGCAAAGUCUCAGGAUAUAAAAUCAAUGUGCAAAAAUCACAAGCAUUCCCAUACACCAAUAACAGACUUAAAGAGAGCCAAAUCAAGAAUGAACUGCCAUUCACAAUUGCUACAAAAAGAAUAAAAUACCAAGGAAUACAAUUUACAAAGAACAUAAGGGAACUCUUGGAGGAAAACUACAAACCACUGCUCAAUGAAAUCAGAGAGGACACAAACAGAUGGAGAAACAUUCCAUGUUCAUGGUUAGGAAGAAUUAAUAUCAUGAAAAUGGCUAUACUGCCCAAAGUAAUUUACAGAAUCAAUGCUAUCCCCAUCAAGCUACCAUUGACUUUCUUCACAGAGCUGGAAAAAUCCACCAUGAACUUCAUAUGGAACCAAAAGAGAGCCCGCAUAGCCAAGUCAAUUCUAAGCAAAAAGAACACAGCAGGAGGCAUCACAGUACCGGACUUCAAACUAUACUACAAGGCUACAGUAAUCAAAACAGCAUGGUACUGGUACCAAAACAGAGAUAUAGACCAAUGGAACAAAACAGAGGCAUCAGAGGCAACAUAACAUAUCUACAACCACACAAUCUUUGAUAAACCUGACAAAAACAAGCAAUGGGGAAAGGAUUCCCUGUUUAAUAAAUGGUGUUGGGAAAACUGGCUAGCCAUGUGCAGAAAGCAGAAACUGGACCCCUUCCUGACACCUUACACUAAAAUUCACUCCAGAUGGAUUAAAGACUUAAACAUAAGACCUGGCACCAUAAAAACCCUAGAAGAAAAUCUAGGCAAAAUCAUUCAGGACAUAGGAGUAGGCAAGGACUUCAUGAACAAAACACCAAAAGCAUUGGCAACAAAGCCAAAAUAGACAAAUGGGACCUAAUCAAACUCCACAGCUUCUGCACGGCAAAAGAAACAGUCACUAGAGUGAAUCAGCAACCAACAGAAUGGGAAAAAAUUUUUGCAGUUCACCCAUCUGACAAAGGGCUGAUAUCCAGAAUUUACAAAGAACUCAAACAGAUUUAUAGGAAAAAAACAAACAAGCCCAUUCAAAAAUGGGCAAAGCAUAUGAACAGACGCUUUACAAAAGAAGACAUACAUAAGGCCAACAAACAUAUGAAAAAAUGCCCAUCAUCACUGGUCAUUAGAGAGAUGCAAAUCAAAACCAUACUGAGAUACCAUCUCACUCCAGUUAGAAUGGCGAUCAUUAAAAAAUCUGGAGACAGCAGAUCCUGGAGAGGAUGUGGAGAAAUAGGAACACUUUUACACUGUUGGUGGGAGUGUAAAUUAGUUCAACCAUUGUGGAAGACAGUGUGGCGAUUCCUCAAGGCCUUAGAAAUAGAAAUUCCAUUUGACCCAGCAAUCCCAUUACUGUGUAUAUAUCCAAAGGACUAUAAAUUGUUCUACUAUAAGGACAUAUGCACAUGAAUGUUCAUUGCAGCACUGUUUACAAUAGCAAAGACCUGGAAUCAACCCAAAUGCCCAUUGAUGAUAGACUGGACUGGGAAAAUGUGGCCCAUAUACACCAUGGAAUAUUAUGCAGCAAUCAAAAAUGAUGAGUUCGCGUCCUUUGUAGGGACAUGGUUGAAUCUGGAGAAUAUCAUCCUCAGCAAACUGACACAAGAACAGAAAAUGAAAUACCACAUAUUCUCACUCAUAGGUGGGUGAGGAAAAAUGAGAACACAUGGACACAGGGAAGGGAGUACUACACAUCGGGGUCUAUUGGGGGGAAUUGGGAGGGACAGCGAGGGGGGGAGCUGGGGAGGAAUAGCCUGGGGAGAAAUGCCAAAUGUGGGUGAAGGGCAGGAAGGCAGCAAAACACACUGCCAUGUGUGUACCUAUGCAACUAUUUUGCACAUUCUGCACAUGUACCCCAAAACCUAAAAUGCAAUUUUAAAAAGUAUAUUUUUAUAAAUAAUUAUAAAAACCUAAAAAAAGUCCAGGCACAGUGGCUCAAGCCUAUAGUCCCAGCACUUUGGGAGGCCGAGGCAGGUGGAUCACGUGGUCAACAUAUCGAGACCAUCCUGGUCAACAUGGUGAGACCUCGUCUCUACUAAAGAUACAAAAAAUUAGCCGGGCAUGGUGGCGCGUGCCUGUAAUUCCAUCUACUCGGGAGGCUGAGGCAGGAGAAUUGCCUGAACCCAGGAGGCGGAGGUUGCGGUGGGCCGAGAUUGCGCCAUUGCACUCCAGCCUGGGUAACAAGAGCGAAACUCUGUCUCAAAAAAAAAAAAAGAAGAAAGAAAAAGAAACCUAAAAAAAAAAAUAGAUUUAGAAUAAAAUUAAUCUACUUGAAAAAAAAUGAUUUAAACAUAAAAUCCAAAACUAUAAAAAUCCUAGAAGAAAAUCUAGGCAGUACCAUUCUGGACAUAGGCAUGGGCAAAGAUUUAAUGACAAAAACAUCAAAAGCAAUUGCAAUAAAAGCAAGAAUUGACAAAUGGGACCUAAUUAAAAUAAAGAACUGCACAGCAAAAGAAACUAUCAUUGGAAUGAACAGACCGCCUACAGAAUGGGAGAAAAUUUUUGCAAUCUAUGUAUCUGACAAAGGUGUAAUAUCUAGAAUCUACAAGGAACUUUUACAAGAAAAAAACCCAUCAAAAAGUGGGCAAAGACAUGAACAGACAUUUCUCAAAAGAAGACAUUUAUGUGGUCAGUAAACAUAUGCAAAGAAGCUCAACAUCACUGAUCAUUAGAGAAAUGCAAAUCAAAGCCAAAAUGAGAUACCAUCUCAUGCCAGUCAGAAUGGCGAUUAUUAAAAAGUCAGGAAACAGCAAUUGCUGGCAAGGAUGUGGAGAAACAGGAACACUUUUACACUGUUGGUGGGAAUGUAAGUUAGGUUAACCAUUGUGGAAGACAGUGUGGCAAUUUCCUCAGAGAUCUAGAACCAGAAUAACAUUUGACCCAGCAAUCCCAUUACUGGGUAUAUACCCAAAGGAAUGUAAAUCAUCCUAUUAUAAAUAUAUAUGUAUGCAUAUGUUCAUUAUAGUACUAUUCACAAUAGCAAAGAUGUGGAAUCAACCCAAGUGCCUGUGAAAGACUGGAUAAAGAAAAUGUGGUACAUAUACACCAUGGAAUACUAUGCAGUCAUAAAAAGGAACUAGAUCAUGUUCUUUGUGGGGACAUGGAUGGAGCUGGAAGCCAUUAUCCUCAGCAAACUCACACAGGAACAGAAAACCAAACACCACAUGUUCUCACUUACAAGUAGGAGCUGAACAAUGAGAACACAUGGACACAGGGAGGGGAAUAACACUGGGGCCUGUCAGGGGAGUCGGGGAGGGAGAGCAUCAGGAUAAAUAACUAAUGCAUGUGGGACUUAAUACGUAGGCAAUGGGUUGAUAGGUGUAGCAAACCACCGUGGCACAUGUUUACCUAUGUAACAAACCUGCACAUCCUGCAUAUGUAUCCUAGAACUUAAAAUAAAAAAUUCUUAAAAAGAGACACGCACUGACAUAUCGAAACUUUGUAUGCAACAACAACGACAACAAAAAGAAAAUUUAGCAUUUGCUUACAUUUUAUGCAGCCUCAGAAAGGAGACAAGAUUGCUAAUCUUUCCGAGGCUGGAAUAACCUUGGGAUAUUAUAGAGUAGUGUGCCUUUACAUGACUUGCCUUAGGAAGAGAAUAACAGAUAUGAGGAUGGGUUAGGCACUAUUUGCCUUUCAAAAACAUUUUAAAAUCUUGUAAGGAUCUUAUAUAUUGUUGACCACUUUUCUUGCAGAACUUGAGUGACUAGAGAACUAUUUAGUCUAGUAUGCAAAGCUUUACCCUUGUGUCAAAAAUUUUCUUAGACCCUAGAGCUUUAAAACAGAUAUAGAACACUCUUGUAGCUUAAAUUUAAAAGCAUAAAAUGCUAAAAUGUUGAGUGUGCAGAAUCAGUAUGAUUAAAUUAUCUUUUGUCGGUUUAUUUAGCUCAGUAAUUUAUUUUUUCUUUAGUAAAUUGGAGGAAGGAGGAGGAGAAUUGAAUGAAAAUGAUAUACAAAGACAGAAACAGUAUUUUAUGUUUCCUGAUUACUGAAAACUUCAGGUGAUCUUUUUAUUUUUUAAUUUUGAGACAGAGUCUUGUUCUGUCACCCAGCCUGGAGUGCAGUGAUGCCAUCUUGGCUCACUGCAACCUCCGCCUCCAUAUUCAAGCGAUUCUCAUGCCUCAGUUUCCUGAGUAGCUGGGAUUACAGGUGUGCAUCGUCACGCCUAGCUAAUUUUUGUGUUUUUAGUAGAUACCAGGUUUCGCCAUGUUGGUUGGCCAGACUGAUCUAGAGCUCCUGGCUUCAAGUGAUCUGCCUGCCUUGGCCUCCCGAAGUUCUGGGAUUACAGGCAUGAACCACUAUGCCCCACCCAAGUGAUCUUUUUAAAACCAGUCUGAAUUCUCUUUAUUUUUGACUCCCAUUUCAACUGAUUGAAUAUGUAUUUGGAUUUCAUAUAAAGAUCCAAUUUUUGGUUUUAGACUUAAAAUCGUUUAUUUCUUACUUAAAUUGCAUUCUUUCUUAAUGUCUUCUUAUAUCCCUCUUUAUUGUGAUUUUCAUCCUUACAUACUUUAAAAAGUACCAGGCACAAUUUCAAUGAUCUAGAAGACUCAGAGGUCCCCAGGGAAACACUUAAUACUCCACUGAGAUUAAGGGAAGCAGCUUGCUAGGGUGGAUUUGCUCCCUGUUAGCUUCUGACUCUAUUAAAAUUGUCCUUAGCAUUCAAUGUUGAUCCUAAAUGUCUGGGUUUUUUUGAUCUCUUGGGAAACAGUGACAGCCUUAGUUCCUUGGUGGUUGUCCUAAUCUCUAGUACCUUCGUCCAUUAGUAAAAGUGUGCCCUGUGUAUUCUGUUCCCCGUAGAACUGUCUGCCCCCUGUCUUCUAGUGUUCUCUCAUUCCUGCAAGCCUGCCCUCCUGUCCCUGUGAGUAAGUGGGCAACACAAUGCUUGGUGCCAGCCACAGAGGAACCACAGAGAGAGUGCCCAGCAUGGUCCUGGCCCACCCUGGGCACUCAGGAACUAUCUGUUGAACAAAUGCCAGAAAGCAUUUGUGUAUGCAGCCAAGGGGAAGUUGGCUGGGUGUGCCAGACUGAGCUUGGGCUGUGCCCAUGACCUAGUGAAGCAUCGUUAAUAGUCCUUUUCCCUCAGGAAAACAGUGAUUGAAUUGUCAAGUACUUCAAAUAGUGUGUUAUCAUGAAUCCAAUAAGGCAUUUUCUUUAAACUACUAUUUCAUGUGUGAUCUUACAUUAUCUCUUCAACACUUUGAACUCUUAUAAAAGUAAUUGAAUUGAGAAAUUAAAAAUAAAAUUCAGUGAAAAUGAAUAACAAAAAUUAAGAAAUGAAUAAGGUAUAAAAUCUCUGAAGGAUGACAGAUUAAUUAUUAAUCUUUAAUUAUUAAUAAACUGUUGUUAGUAGCUAAGUUACCAUUGGUUGCUAACAUUUGUAAACAUAGCUCGACGUCAGUUAUAAUGUUAACUGCUGAAGUGUAUUUCCAUUUGAAAUUUACAGCUGUCCAGGGCUGUAGUACUGUUAGCUCAGCCUUACACCCGAGAAAACUGAUGCCCAGAGGGCUGAAGUACCUUCCCCAGGUUUAUACACCGAGCUCAUAUUAUGCUCAGAGUUUGAAACCAUGGCUGUUUAAUGCCGAAGCUCCAGGCCUCCAGCCACUAAACCACUUCUUCUCCAACCUUAUCAAUAUGUGGAUUUCCCAUGGGGAAUUUUUAUUGUCCCAUCCCUGUUAUUUUGGGGUUGCUUUCCUUCAUUUUUAAUCAGUGUGUAUGUAAAUAAUAUAAAUUAAUUUUAGUUUGAACACUGAAUUAGGAAGCUGAAGCUCAUAAUUCUAAUUCUUGUCUUAGUUUCUUAAUUUAUCUGGGCUUUGUUUGAUGCCUCCUAUAAAAUGUAAAGCCAGCCAGGUGAGGUGCUCAUGCCUGUAAUCCUAACACUUUGAGAGGCCAAGGGAGAUGGAUUGCUUGAGCUCAAGAGUUCAAGACCAGCCCGGGCCACAUGGCAAAACCCUGCCUCUGCAAAAAAUGCAAAAAAUUAGCUGGGCCUGGUGGCCCAUAUCUGCAGUCCCAGCGGCUUGGCGGGCUGGGAUCACUUGAGCCUAGCAGGUAGAGGCUGCAGUGAGCCGAGAUCGUGCCACUGCAUGUCGGCCUGGAUGACAAAGUGAGACCCUUUCUCGAAUGAAUGAAUGAAUGAAUGAAUGAAUGAAUGAAUAAACAAAUAAACAAAAUGUAAGAGCCAUUGGGUAAAUCAGUGGUUUUUCUUACCCCCAAUGCAUCUAACAGAACAUUAAUUAGUAAUAGUACUUUCUGUAGCAUUAAUUUUUACUUCUUUGAAGUAAAGGGUUAUACCAGAUUUUGGGAGACUGGGACAGUGAUUCUGAUAGGUUACACUCCUUUAUCCCCACCUGACAUAAAAAAAAAGUUACCAAGCAAUUUUGAGAUCUAUUUUUGUGUCUGCUGACAUAACAAGUAGAAAUUUUCUUAUUUCUCCACUACCUUUUCCAUUUACUGCUCUUUCAGUUUGGGGGCUUAUCUGGCUGUUGUGAUCUUUAUGUGUCUCUAACUUGCUGUCAUUUACCAUCCUCUGGAUCAUUUGUAAAGUCUGAUUCAGAGAUCUCGGGGAGUCCCUGAGAUCCCUUUAGGAUAGAGGUAGUAAAGUGAAAACUAUUUUCAUAAUGAUAAACAUUAUUUGCCUUUUUUACUUUCAUUCUCUCAAGAGCGUAUGGGGGGGCUUUCCAAAGUCUGUAUGAUGUGUGAUAUUGCAGUAGAAACAUUUGAGGAUCUGUUGUUCUACUGUUAAGUCAGACAUUCAAUAGAUUUAUAAAAAUAUAAGACAAUACCACUCUUCUAUUUUUUUGUUUUGAAAAUAUAUUUUUCAUAACAAUUUUAUAAUUCUUGAAUUCACAGAUUGUUAAAAAUUCUCAGUUUUAAUUUCUAAUAUGGCUGUGUAUCAAUGGCUGUUGUUUAUGUAGCUUAUGUUCCUUUGGUUUCCUCAAUAUUUUUUAAGGAUAAAAAGGGUCCUGAGACUGAAAAAUUUAAGAACAGCUGCUCUAGAAUUCAUUGAUGCCUCUUGGGUAGCUGGCUCUGUAUUCUUCCUUAGUCAUCUGGAUGGCGGAUGUCCCACUGGCCUCUGUGACGGAGUCACCUGAGCCCCUUGUUAGUAUCUGUCAUGUUUGUGCACCCUCACUAUGUACUCUCUUGUCUAGUGCUGCUCCAUUUCUGAAAUCUGUAACUCCCAGAGCUGGCUGAGACCCGUCUUCUGGAGUCAGGCUUGCUGAUACAGUUUAGAUCUGUGCCCCCUCCCAAAUCUCAUGUUGAAAAGUAAUCCCCAAUGUUGGAGGUGGGCCUGGUGGGAGGUGAUUGGAUCAUGGGGGCAGGUUCUGGCACCAUCCCCUUGGUGCUGUCCUCACAAUAGUGGGUGAGUUCUUAUGAGAUCUGGUCAUUUAAAGGUGUAUGGCACCUCCCCCUGCUUUCUUGCUCCUGCUCUGGCCAUGUGAUGUGCCUGCUCCCACCUCACCUUCUGCCAUGAUUAUAAUCUUCCUGAGGCCUCCCCAGAAGCCAACCAGAUGUCAGCACCAUGCUUCCUGUACAGGCUGCAGAACUGUUCACUCACACUUGGAUGUCUGCCUGGCAGUGUGGUGGGUGACAGAGACUCGAGAGUUGAGGGCCUAGGAGGUGUGCUAGAGAAAAACUAUCUAGCACCGUGUGAUUGAAAUACAAUGCAAUCCACAGAUGUAAUUUAAAACUUUCCAUCUGGGCAUGGUGGCUCAUUGCUUGUAAGUCCAGCACUUUGAGAGGUCGAAGCAGAUGAAUCACUUGAGGUCAAGAGUUCAAGACAAGCCUGGCCAAUAUGUCUUCAAAAUCUGGGGUGUAUUUUCCAAUUGCAACUUAUCUCAGUUUACACUGGCCACAUUUCAAGAGUUCAGUAACCACGUGUGGCUAGUAGGGGUGUAUUGAUACUGCUUUGUGUUUGCUCUGGGAUACCUCACAGUGUGCCAAGUUACUCGAGUCUAUAUCUUUGACUAUGGACAAUAUUCUGCGGAUUUUUCAGG